CUAUACAUAGAAGGUCCGAUACCUAACCCUCUGUGCUAUCUGACUCUUUCCACCGGUGACUAUAGCUUUCAAUUCAACGUCGCCGGUCAGCCCCCUGCAGCUCAGCUAUUUUUCUUCGUCACCUUCAGCUCCUUGCGACCAACCAAGGUGCCGGACGGCGAAGCCUUCGAGCGGAAAAUCGAGACCCCAUCUUUGAUUUUAUUUAAAGUGCAUGCCAACAUAGUACCUGGUUGGAAAUGGCUAGUGGGACUUCUGUUCAGCCAAGCAUGACCUAUGAUUUUGAUGAUGAUGAUGAGGGACCUAUCAUUUUUAAGAGGAACACAACAUCUAAUCAAAAUCAAUCAAAUUCAAAUGCCCAGAGGGCUAGGGUGGUACCAUCCACGAAGGCGUCACCAAUGAAAUCUCCUUUAGCAAGCCAAAA